rnacentral:rRNA from 1 species
AUGUUGGAGCCGGCGAGGUACACGACGGCUCCACCCGCGCCUCCCACAGCAGCAACUCCUAGCCGAGGUAUGCCCUCCUCUCCUCUCCUCUCCUUCCUCCCUCUUCACAGAUCUCUAUCUUGCCCAAGGCAAUCGAUCAAGUUUAUUCAUGUUCUGUACGUAGAUGCUGCACUAUUUAGAUCUCUGGUUGGAUGGUCACAUUGGAGACCAAGACUGGAAUGUCACAAGGAUUCCACUGAAGAAAACUACUGCACUUUUAUGCAGGGAUUGACGUCCCAACAGACACUGAUUAGGCUAAUUGCUACCCGUUUUUGCAUAUAUAAACAACAAGUUCGAUGCUUCCUUCCAGCAUGUAACCAACCUGACACCACAAAGUGUUCGAAAAGUGACAGAAUGGAUAUCCGGAGACCGGAUCAUUUUGAAUUAACACGCACAAUGCUGACAGUCAACGUCUCAAUCUGUUACAGCUGUUGUUCUUGGCCUGAGCAGCAACUCUGUAUUGGCUCAGGAUGA